GGCAACGGACUGGUUUUUCCACAGGCCGUGUGAUGCCAAGGCCUACUUAAUGCUUAACGCGUGUAAACUGAAAUACCUCCUAUGGCGGUGAUCCGUAACCUGGCAACAGCCAAUGAGAGGAAAGGGUUACGACUGCGCCUACUGGCGCUCGACAAUGCUAUCUCGUCGAAGACCCAAUUGGCGUCUGCUAAAAUGAAAACUAUCUGAGCGUAGAGUGAAGGGCUGAAGGCUGCAAGAGGGCAACGACACGCCGUGUGUUUCGGCUUGUUUUGACGGAUUGUUAUAACCAGGUUUUUUAAAAAAUUGUAAUUGAAAAAAUUUAAGAAAUCAGUCCUGAGUUUAACAAUUCAUUCAGUUGUGCAUAUGUACCUCAACGGAAAGCCAUACGCUUUUUAAAAGAAGAAUAACACAAACUGAAAGAAAGGUGAAACAUGGAGUCAUAAAUAGUAUGAGGGUCCUGGCUCUACGUUCCUUAUUAGCUGGAUGAAAGCUAUUUCUUGUUUGGUUGAAAAUGGAAUGUAGCUUCUUCUUGUUCGCCAAUAUUGGUUUGAGAAAUUUUUUUAAUAUGAUCAUAAUUAAAUCUUUGUUGUUUUCACCAGGUAUUGCCACUUAACAUACAAAAGUGCUGUAUGUCUCAAUGUGGGAAGGAAGGAAUCCAAACAGUCCCUUCAGCAAGAAAGUCGACUUUGAAAUCUGUGAAAGAAUUUCUUUUACAAAAAGAUUACCUAGGUGAUAAAUCAACAGCAUCAGUGAGUCAAAACUUCUUGUCCUCUGGAAUCUAGCGAUACAGUUAACGCAAAAUUCCUGCUCCACCAGAACGCGUAUAGUGUAUCCAGCGAGAAAAGCCGCAGUGCAGGAUUGUGAUGAUAGCUGCAGUUUUUCUGUAAAAAAAAAUCAUUCCGUUUUCUUCGUUUUGAUAUCAGGCAAUAAUUUCACGAUAUCUUGAAAGGUACGUAUGUCAUUUUAUUAUUGUAUGUCAUGAGUUUUAAUAUUGCCUUUUGUUCAUAUUUUCCAUCAGAUAUUGUAACGCUUAAAUAUUAUUGUUUAAUAAAAGAGAAUAACAUUA
rnacentral:lncRNA from 1 species